CCCCCCCCCCCCCCCCCCCCCCCCCCCCCCCCCCCCCCCCCCCCCCCCCCCGACCCGGCGGUGGCGGGGUUGGCGUACGUCAACGGUUGCGUCAAUCCCAUCAUCUACCUGGCGAUGGGGCGGGGCUUGGGGCAGGUGAGGCGCUCGUGGCGGGCAUUGCUCAGGGGGGUGCUCAGCGAUGACCCCACGAGCGUGGCCGGGGACAGCAGGGGACGGAGCGUGGUCACCGCGGAGGAAGGCAGCGAGGGCACCGCGGUGUGAGGGGGGCGUGGGGGUUGUGGUCAUGGUCAUGGUCAUGGUCAUGGUCAUCAUGGUUGUGGUCAGUGUCACGGUCAUCGUUGUCGCGGUCAUUGUCAUCGUCAUCAUGGUCAUCGUGGUCACGGUCAUGGUUAUUGUCAUCAUGAUGGUCACGGUCAUCAUCGUCAUCAUGGUCAUGGUCAUUUCCAUUGCCAUGGUUAUGGUCAUCAUUGUCAUUGUCAUGGUUAUAUGGUGAUGGUCAUCAUUGUCAUGGUCAUUGUCAUGGUCAUUGUCAUCAUGGUCAUGGUCAUGGUUUGGUCAUUGUCAUGGUCUUGGUCAUUGUCAUGGUCAUGGUCAUCAUCAUUAUGGUCAUGGUCAUCAUCAUCAGGAUGGUCAUAGUCAUUGUCAUUGCCAUGGUUAUGAUCUUUGUUGUCAUUGUCAUCAUCAUCACGAUGGUCAUUGUCAUGGUUAUGGUCAUGGUCAUGGUCAUCAUUGUCAUGGUCUUGGUCAUGGUCAUUGUCAUCAUCAUCAUCAUGGUCACGGUCAUCGUCAUUGUCAUGGUUUUGGUCAUGGUCAUAGUUGUCAUCGUCAUCGUCAUCGUCAUCAUCAUCAUCACGGUCAUCAUCGUUGUCAUCAUUGUCGUUUUCAUCAUUGUCAUCGUCAUUGUCUAUUGUCAUGGUCUUGGUCAUGGUCAUUGUCAUCAUCAUCAUCAUGGUCACGGUCAUCGUCAUUGUCAUGGUUUUGGUCAUGGUCAUAGUUGUUGUCAUCGUCAUCAUCAUCAUCACGGUCAUCAUCGUUGCCAUCAUUGUCAUUUUCAUCAUUGUCAUCGUCAUUGUCUCGUCAUCGUCAUCAUCAUCAUCAUCAUGGUCAUGGUUGUCAUUGCCAUCAUCAUGGUCGUGGUCAUCUUUGGCAUUGCCUUCAUCGUCAUUGUCAUCACUGCCAUUAUCAUCGUCAUCGUCAUUGUAAUCAUCAUCAUCGUCACUGUCAUGGUCAUCGUUGUCAUUGUCCUCAUCAUACUCAUCGUCGUUGUCAUGGUCAUGGCCAUCAUCAUCAUCAUGGCCAUUGUCAUCAUCGUCAUCCUCGUCACGGUCAUGGUCAUCAUCGUCAUGGUCAUCAUCGUCAUCAUCGUGGCCACUGUCAUCACUGUCAUCAUUGUCAUGGUCAUCAUGGUCAUGGUCAUGGUCAUGGUCAUGGUCAUGGUCAUGGUCAUUGUCAUCAUCGUGGUCAUCAUGGCCAGUGUCAUUGUCACCAUCACGGUCACCGUUAUCAUUGUCAUCGUGGUCAUCAUGGUCACCGUCAUCAUCAUCGUCAUUGUCUCCUUGUCAUUAUCAUCUUCAUCAUCAUGGUCGUGAUCAUUGUUGUCAUUGUCUUCAUCAUCUUCAUCAUCGUCAUCAUCAUUGUCAUCUUCAUCAUUGUCAUUGUCAUCAUCAUCGUCGUCAUCUUCCUCAUGGCCAUCGUUGUUGUCAUUGUCAUUGUUGUCACUGUCAUUGUCAUUUCGGGGGCGCCGCCGCAGCAGCAGAACUGGGGGGGACCAUCCUCAUCGUCUUCGUCGUCAUGGUUGUCAUCAUCCUCAUCAUCGUCAUCACGAUCAUUGUCACCGUCGUUGUCGUUGUUGUCGUGGUCAUUGUCGUCGUCGUUUUGGGCUGAGGGUGGGGGGAUGGGCAGCUCUUCCUCCUCCUCCUCCUCUUCCUCCUCCUCCUCCUCUUCCUCCUCCUCCUGCCAUGGGUGUCCCCCCAGUGUCACCCCAGGAUGCAACCACCCCUCCUCCUCCUCAUCUUCAUCAUCACCUCCUCCUCUUCCUCCUCCUCUUCCUCUUCCUCCUCCUCUUCAUCAUCCCAUCCUCUUCCUCCUCCUCCUCUUCAUCCCCCCCCCCCCCCCCCCCCCCCCCCCCCCCCCCCCCCCCCCCCCCCCCCCCCCCCCCCCCCCCCCCCCCCCCCCCCCCC
rnacentral:lncRNA from 12 species